rnacentral:lncRNA from 1 species
GGGCUUGGCCGGUGGUACGCCAGAGGCUGCCCAUAGCAGGAAACCCCCGCAGAGGCCAGGGCCUCUUGUUCCACUUGGCAGAGACCCCAGAGAGAGCCAGGGGGCAGCAUCAGAGCCUGGGGCCCUGGCAGGGGUGCCCAAGGGCACGGCAGCUGCAGGUAUUGACAAGGCCAGAAGACGGUGAGUGGAAAGCAGGGGGCGCGUGGAGAGACACAGAGAAGGGGCUGUUCAGCUGGGAGUCCUGCGUUUGUCGUUUCUGUUUCAUCUGGCGUUUUUGAAACCAGGUUUUUGUCUAGACGUCCGAGAGCUGCAUCUCCCUGCCAGCCUUUUCCGUUCCAGAGGGCCCAGGUCCUGGUGGUGCUGGAAGACGCCCUCCAAGGCGCGGACCUGCUCGGUGGUGAAGGCUGUGCCUACACAGGGGGCCUGCCAGGGGUUUGGCUUCUUACCCAACCCAGCCACGGCCCUCUCCGGCGCAGGCAGAUUUGAGGACCGAGCCUUCUUGAUGCUGACGGCCUGAGGGGGCUCCCGGGUGCCGGAUGUCUGGCCCGGGCCAGGGUGGCUCCCCGGGGAGACGUCGGCAGGCCUGGGGGUGUGGGUCGGCCCUGAGCAGCUGUUCUGGGAGAGCCAGUCCACGGAGCCAAAGCUGGAGGGCUGCUGCCGGCCACGAGGUGGGGAGGAGGACGGACGCAUGGCGGUCAGGCCCUCUGUGCAUGCCAUGCUUAAUAAGGUAAUAAAAAGGUAAGAUUAUAAAGAAGGAAGAGGCCUAUCAAGGAAAGAAGGCUCUUUAUUUGCUUUGCUGUCAUGGUAUCCUUCCCAUUCCACUGGCUUCCAGCACAUAUGUGGAAACUUUUUGGGAAAGUUCCCCAAAACUUUGGGGAACUGUGUUCCCCUGAAGUUUGGAGGGUGAGGAGUGAAAGAGGUUGAGAAGAAUGAGCUGGCUGGGUUGGACAUUCAGAGGUGACAAUGGCCAGAUCAACCUUGAUGGAGUCUUGUUCUGUCACCAGGCUGGAGUGCAGUGGUGCGAUCUCAGCUCACUACAACCUCCACCUCCUGGGUUCAAGUGAAUCCCCUGCCUCAGCCUCCCUAGUAGCUGGGACUACAGGCACACACCACCACACCUGGCUAAUUUUUUGUAUUUUUUAGUAGAGACGGGGUUUCACCAUGUUGGCCAGGAUGGUCUCAAUCUCUUGACCUCAUGAUCUGCCCACCCCACCCUCCCAAAGUUCUGGGAUUACAGGCCUGAGCCACUGCACCUGGCUGCUAGUUCUUAAGAGGGAGGUAUGAGACGUAUGUAUAGACUAAGUGAAAGGAAAAUAUCUUGGGCCCCCAAAAUCACUAAGCUAAAAGGAAAAUUCAAGCUGGAAACUGCUCAGAGCAAACCUGCUUCCCAUUCUAUUCAAAGUCAUCCCUCUGCUCACUGAGGUAAAUGCAUAUUCUGAUUGGCUCCUUUGUAAAAGCUAAUUAGAAACUCAAAAGAAUGCAACUAUUUGUCUCUCACCUACUUGUGACCUGGAAGACCCCUCCCUGCUUCAAGUUCUCCCCACCUUUUUGGACAAAACCAGUGUACUUCUUACUGUAUUGAUUAAUGUCUUGUGUCUCCCUAAAGUGUAUAAAACCAAGUUGUGCCCUGACCACCUUGGGCACAGGUCAUCAGGACUUCCUGAGGCUGUGUCAUGGGCAUGCGUCCUCACCCUUGGCAAAAUAAACCUUCUAAAUUAAAUGAGACCUCUCUCAGAUUUUCUGGGUUUACAACUAUGAAUGUUCAGGAGAGUUUGGAAGCCAAUAUCUUCAAGGUCAUACACUUAUCUGUGUUUAGGGUACGUCUCCAGAGGGAGAGAACCACUAGGAUGCAUAUGAAGGGAAACCAACUAGGGGAAAUUGGC